GGGGAUGACCGGUUUUGACAGCAGGCAGAGCUUGAUUGUAAGCACGUCGAGCGUUGUGUGGAGGUGCUCGUUAAAGUGAACACUCAACAAUUAACUGGCAAUAAUAGCUACGCACUCGCUGCCUAAUUAUCAGAGAUAAUUGGCUUAAUCGCGCCGCCCAAGGAUGGUAGUGCGACGAGUAUCCCGCCGAGGCUUUCCGCUUCUUAAAGCCAAAGCAUAUGGGGUAUCAAUCAUUUGAAGAUAGUCUGCGCGAGUGUCUCGGCGCGUGGGCGAAAUCAAGGGACUUUCGACUUUGGGUUGGCGGCCGUCUGCCUGCCCAAGGUAAGAGGAUUAAGUGACGGAUAAACGUGUAGAAAGCAUUUGGGUUCCUUGUUUGGACGAGGGUUCGACUCCCUCCAUCUCCAC
rnacentral:tmRNA from 1 species